rnacentral:misc_RNA from 1 species
GCAAACUUGGUCAUUUAGAGGAAGUAAAAGUCGUAACAAGGUUUCCGUAGGUGAACCUGCGGAAGGAUCAUUCAUAAUAAGAGUGUUUUAUGGCACUCUAAAAAAAAAUCCAUACCCACCUUGUGUGCAAUGUAAAAGGAGGAGGCGGGUUUGGAAAGGGAGCAAUCCCUGGCAAGAGCCCUCUCUUCUUUUCCAUAUACAUUUUUCUACAAAAUCUAUUGUCUGAAACUGUUAGAGAAUCUAAUUCUUAAACACAACUUUCAACAACGGAUCUCUUGGCUCUCGCAUCGAUGAAGAACGCAGC